GAACGAAAAGAGGGAAAGAGCUUGCUCUUUCCGGAAUUGAGUGGCAAACGGGUGAGUAACACGUAAACAACCUGCCUUCAGGAUGGGGAUAACAGACGGAAACGACUGCUAAUACCGAAUAAGUUCCAAGAGCCGCAUGGCCCAUGGAAGAAAAGGUGGCCUCUACCUGUAAGCUAUCGCCUGAAGAGGGGUUUGCGUCUGAUUAGCUGGUUGGAGGGGUAACGGCCCACCAAGGCGACGAUCAGUAGCCGGUCUGAGAGGAUGAACGGCCACACAGGAACUGAGACACGGUCCAGACUCCUACGGGAGGCAGCAGUGGGGAAUCUUCCGCAAUGGGCGAAAGCCUGACGGAGCAACGCCGCGUGAGUGAUGACGGCCUUCGGGUUGUAAAACUCUGUGAUCCGGGACGAAAAGGCAGAGUGCGAAGAACAAACUGCAUUGACGGUACCGGAAAAGCAAGCCACGGCUAACUACGUGCCAGCAGCCGCGGUAAUACGUAGGUGGCAAGCGUUGUCCGGAAUUAUUGGGCGUAAAGCGCGCGCAGGCGGCUUCCCAAGUCCCUCUUAAAAGUGCGGGGCUUAACCCCGUGAUGGGAAGGAAACUGGGAAGCUGGAGUAUCGGAGAGGAAAGUGGAAUUCCUAGUGUAGCGGUGAAAUGCGUAGAGAUUAGGAAGAACACCGGUGGCGAAGGCGACUUUCUGGACGAAAACUGACGCUGAGGCGCGAAAGCGUGGGGAGCAAAC
rnacentral:rRNA from 1 species